GUGUCAAAGCUACCCUGCAGACUCAGAGGGGAUAUGCCUGGACUGAGAGUGAAGAGUGGGAAGUUUGGCUGCACAGUGUCAGUCAUGUAACGCAGACACACCGACACACCUGCAAGAGAUUUGGUGCUCAGGAUCAAUGUGAAUAUAAACUAUACCAAUUUCAACAGAUCAAUGUCAUUGAUCUGCAGUGCACACAGUCAUUCAGCUGCACAGGCUGGACUUCUGGAUAAUAAGAUCUGCCCUGGACGCCGUUUUCCGUGAAGCUGAGCGAGGAUGUGUGUAUUUGGAAUCUGCUGAGGAGAAGAGCUUGUAUAUCCCUGUUUUCCCUGGACCCCCAGACCCUUUUCCCUGCCACACUGUGUGUGUUAUAUAUAUAUAUAUAUCUC